ACUCCUACGGGAGGCAGCAGUGGGGAAUAUUGCACAAUGGGGGAAACCCUGAUGCAGCCAUGCCGCGUGUGUGAAGAAGGCCUUGGGUUGUAAAGCACUUUCAGUAGGGAGGAAGGUAGUGUAGUUAACACCUGCACUAUUUGACGUUACCUACAGAAGAAGCACCGGCUAACUCCGUGCCAGCAGCCGCGGUAAUACGGAGGGUGCGAGCGUUAAUCGGAAUUACUGGGCGUAAAGCGCAUGCAGGCGGCCUGUUAAGUCAGAUGUGAAAGCCCGGGGCUUAACCUCGGAAUUGCAUUUGAAACUGGCAGGCUAGAGUCUUGUAGAGGGGUUAGAAUUUCAGGUGUAGCGGUGAAAUGCGUAGAGAUCUGAAGGAAUACCAGUGGCGAAGCGGCCCCUGGACAAAGACUGACGCUCAGAUGCGAAAGCGUGGGAGCAAACAGGAUUAGAUACCCCUGGUAGCACGAAG
rnacentral:rRNA from 1 species